rnacentral:rRNA from 1 species
AUGCCGCGUGCAGGAAGACUGCCCUAUGGGUUGUAAACUGCUUUUAUAUAGGAAGAAACCUACUUACGUGUAAGUAGCUGACGGUACUAUAAGAAUAAGGAUCGGCUAACUCCGUGCCAGCAGCCGCGGUAAUACGGAGGAUCCAAGCGUUAUCCGGAAUCAUUGGGUUUAAAGGGUCCGUAGGUGGAUAAUUAAGUCAGAGGUGAAAUCUUGCAGCUCAACUGUAAAAUUGCCUUUGAUACUGGUUAUCUUGAGUUAUUAUGAAGUAGUUAGAAUAUGUAGUGUAGCGGUGAAAUGCAUAGAUAUUACAUAGAAUACCAAUUGCGAAGGCAGAUUACUAAUAAUCAACUGACACUGAUGGACGAAAGCGUGGGUAGCGAACAGGAUUAGAUACCCUGGUAGUCCACGCCGUAAACGAUGGUUACUAGCUGUUUGGACUUCGGUCUGAGUGGCUAAGCGAAAGUGAUAAGUAACCCACCUGGGGAGUACGUUCGCAAGAAUGAAACUCAAAGGAAUUGACGGGGGCCCGCACAAGCGGUGGAGCAUGUGGUUUAAUUCGAUGAUACGCGAGGAACCUUACCAGGGCUUAAAUGUAAGUUGCAUUAGCUAGAGAUAGCUAUUUCUUCGGACCACUUACAAGGUGCUGCAUGGUUGUCGUCAGCUCGUGCCGUGAGGUGUCAGGUUAAGUCCUAUAACGAGCGCAACCCCUGUUGUUAGUUGCCAGCGAGUCAUGUCGGGAACUCUAACAAGACUGCCAGUGCAAACUGUGAGGAAGGUGGGGAUGACGUCAAAUCAUCACGGCCCUUACGUCCUGGGCUACACACGUGCUACAAUGGUAGGUACAGAGAGCAGCCACUGCGCGAGCAGGAGCGAAUCUAUAAAACCUAUCACAGUUCGGAUCGGAGUCUGCAACUCGACUCCGUGAAGCUGGAAUCGCUAGUAAUCGGAUAUCA